AUUGAACGCUGGCGGCAGGCUUAACACAUGCAAGUCGAGCGGGGAAGGUUGCUUCGGUAACUGACCUAGCGGCGGACGGGUGAGUAAUGCUUAGGAAUCUGCCUAUUAGUGGGGGACAACGUUCCGAAAGGAACGCUAAUACCGCAUACGCCCUACGGGGGAAAGCAGGGGAUCUUCGGACCUUGCGCUAAUAGAUGAGCCUAAGUCGGAUUAGCUAGUUGGUGGGGUAAAGACCUACCAAGGCGACGAUCUGUAGCGGGUCUGAGAGGAUGAUCCGCCACACUGGGACUGAGACACGGCCCAGACUCCUACGGGAGGCAGCAGCGGGGAAUAUUGGACAAUGGGCGCAAGCCUGAUCCAGCCAUGCCGCGUGUGUGAAGAAGGCCUUUUGGUUGUAAAGCACUUUAAGCGAGGAGGAGGCUCCUUUAGUUAAUACCUAAAGUGAGUGGACGUUACUCGCAGAAUAAGCACCGGCUAACUCUGUGCCAGCCGCCGCAGUAA
rnacentral:rRNA from 1 species